rnacentral:rRNA from 1 species
UACGUAGGGGGCAGGCGUUGUCCGGAUUUAUUGGGCGUAAAGAGCGUGUAGGCGGCUAUGCAGGUCCGCUGUGAAAACUCGAGGCUCAACCUCGAGACGUCGGUGGAAACCGCAUGGCUAGAGUCCGGAAGAGGAGAGUGGAAUUCCUGGUGUAGCGGUGAAAUGCGCAGAUAUCAGGAAGAACACCUGUGGCGAAGGCGGUUCUCUGGGACGGUACUGACGCUGAGACGCGAAAGCGUGGGGAGCAAACAGG